GUCAACUACCCCGCCCUGAAGGGCGGAGCUUGUAGCUCUGUGGUUGACUAGGGAGCUUACAAUGCUAAGCAGCCGUUAUCUUGGUCACCAUACCCUGGGGUGUUCCGCAAGCUCCAGGCUCUAUCGCUGGUGGUUAAACAGUCCUGUCGGGGUAGGGACAGUGCUGCCAGCACAACAAAAUUUAAAAGGAGUGUUUAAAUGAACAAAGCUCAAAGA
rnacentral:sRNA from 1 species